rnacentral:lncRNA from 1 species
CCCCGACCUUAGACCCUAGAACCGUUCCCCAGUGAUGAUUCUUUUUUGCUGCACAUCGGACGCCAAGUUUUAAAAAAGAAACGAAAAUCCUUUGACGAAUAUCUACGGUUUGAAGGUCGCGACUUGGUAGCGUGUGAACUCCGUCCACUUAUUACUGAUCCCGUUGUCUGCAUGUCAAUCGAUAAUUAACCUUCUUCUUCUUCUUCUAGCUCUCUCACUGCCAUCCCUUGUAAUAAGUGAGUCUGACUUAUUUCAUUACGUCAAGUCAUCAAGCUUCACCGCUGUGUCUAUGCGCAGACAACAUUGGUUUUCAUUAACGGUAGUUAAUUUGAGUCUAUGUGCAUAACAUGCUUCGCUAGUUCGCCCACACGACGACAGCAGUUCUUCCGGGUCUCUUUUAGGAUGAGAGCGCAAUCAAACGGGACAAAUAGUCUCGGGUAAUCUAAAUAGACAACGAGCGGCAAGUAUAAACAAAACCCAAAAUAUAAUUUAAAGAGCACUCGGAAAGCCCCCCACAUGUAUUUUAUCCUGUUGGUCGGCAGGGUGAGAAAACUAUCGGGAUUGCGGGAGCGAUGAGAACUUCCCUGGAUGGACGGCAGCAGCAGACCGAUGGACCCAGGAGCCAGCCAGCGAGAGGAAAAAGCAACGGGACAGCAGAUGUUGUUGCUGUUUGGCCGCACGGCGUUUUUCAACGGUUAUUUAAUAUAUGUAUACAGCCGUGUAUACUCUACUAUCUAUCUAUCAGCAGCGCAACCGGUUCUUCUUCUUUCGCAUAACUGGAGUGCUGCCCGUGGACACGUAAGGUGGAAUUUGUAGCGGCAUUCAAUCACCUAGAGCUAUGGCUCGUAUAUGUGCAAACGUAAAUCAUAUCAUUUUGUAGAUGCAUGCUCUAAUUGGUCCGCCAGAUGGCCCAGGAAACUGCUGAGAACUCUUUGAAGACGGCUAGAUUUUGCAGAAGGAAAAGCCGGUGCAAGCAGGUCAAAACAAAGGAAUUAUAACCGGCUCAUCAGCCGUUAAACUGAUUAGAAUCACGUCAUCGCGUUGGGGUCGACUACUCAUAAAAAAAAAGAAGUGAUGUGCCCCGUCAUCAGAUCGACCUAGUGGCCCUUUCCACAGUGAAACCACCAGACCAGCAAAGGACGCGUACGAUAUUACGUGCCCGGACACGACCGAUGGCAUUCCAUUCGAUUGCACGACGCUCCUGACUGAGCCGCCUGGCACAUCCGUAAUGUGUGAACGGGUUGAAUCCGUUAUCUUCCGCAUUCAUCAGCGUAUGCAAUAUAGGAAGAGGGGGGGUAAGGACAAAAAAGAAAUACAAAAUUACGAUGGUAUGUAGUCGAAGGACGCCCAGCCUUAAAUGCCGCUAUAACUAAUGAAAUAAGACGUCACGGGAAACUGGAUUCGUCCGCAUAUUUGAUGAUGAUGAUGAUCCAAUUGAUGUUUUCUGUUUUUGUUUUAGUUUUAUUUGCCAGUUUGGUAUUGGAAAAAACAAAAACAGUUUCAGGUAUAACUAGUUUAUUUAUAGAUAGCCUGGCGGCUGGCGGUAUGCUAUGACCAACGCAUUAGGGCCGUAAAUUAAUUUCGGGAAAUGUAUAAUACAGCUUUCCGGUCGAACGAGAUUGAGGUGGGCAACUUGUUCUUGGACGUUUUUUUUAUUUUGUCGUAAAUUUCUGUCAGGGAUGACAAUGUCGCUAAAUGGUAAAUGGAACGUCAAAGGAAAAGGGGAAUCGGACUAGUGGAAAAUCUGGAUACAUAAUUGGUCAAUUCGAAACAGUGGUAAAAGAAAAAUAUUGAAGAACAAGACGAAGAAGUGUUGCAGCAAUAUUUUGAUUCGGGAUCUUGAUUUUCUAGAGCGGAAGAGAAAAGGGAAAGAAUGGGGUCUAGAAAGAAAAUGAGACAUCCGAUUACGUAUUAUUAUAUACAUAAAGUGGGACCGUGCUUGGCUUUGUGGGUUGGGUGGUGAGACAUUCUAAGAUGAAAAUGAGGAUAGUCAUCUUCUUCUUUUUAUUUUAUUUUUUCGUCUAUAUCCCGCCAAGUCUUUGCCAAAUUGUCGGUGGUGGGUUCGAACGUGACGAACGGCUAUGGGUGGAAUUGAGGUCGAAGUAAGGCGCGGUUCCGCUCCGUCCGCUCUCCGCGUGCCACACCGGAGAAAACCGACCAUCAUCACUUUUUCUCCCGCAAAAGUCCGCGUCCGCAUUCAUUUUUUUUCCCUCAAAAGAAGAUAGAUGAAAACACGGGACUGGCUCAUCUGGGUGUUUGUUUUGUAUAUGAUUGCGCCACUAUGGCGUAACCUUGCCAUCCGCUACUGACGGUACACAUGGCCAACUCGGAGAAAGUCGGAAGUCGGCCGCGAUCUUUUCUUUUCUUUUGGUUAGUCUUGCACGUCGAGCAGCAGACGCUCUUUUGGUCAAUCAGGUCAUUGCGGUACGUCAAGAUGGACUCUCCUCUAGCACUCCUUUACUUUCUUGAGGCAGGCAAAUCUUGCGUCAUGCGCUUGAAAAUGCGCACAAUCGAAUCACGAAAGAAGAAAUCACGGUGGACGUUUAUGAUAGUUCAUUUGAAACAUAGCCAUAUGGAAACCAAACAUUUUCUCGGUCGGAAUUUUGAACAUGUUUUACGUGAUUCGACCUUUUCGAAAAAUAAAUACCAAUCGGAAGUACCUUUGACCUAGACUUUGAAAAGAAAAAAGAAGGACGGCCGUGCCUAAGAGGUCGCUAACCCCUUUUUCCUAUUUGAUAUUUAAUAUUAGACUCUCGUCUUUGCCCUUCAUACUCGGUUAAAUUAAAAAGGAAAAAAGCAUUUCGCUGUUUUCGCUACUAGUUUGGGCGCUCGUCAUCAAUUCGGUGUAAAGAAACAAAAGAAUAACGACGUGGAAACAUGCUUUACAGUUAGGACCCAAGCAGCCAAACCCGAGUCCACAUAGCGAGAUGUUGCGUCGACUUUCACUAAAAACGGUCGCCUAUUCUUGUGCUACUCUAUUACGAUUCUUUUAAAAAAGAUAAAGUUUUUCCUCCCUGUAUUUUACC